UUUAAAACGAUGACAGGGACUAGUAAGCGUUUACUGCUGGUUCAGAGAGCCGCCGGUUGGUGCGAAGGCGGUCGAAGGCAGGGCGAUGAACUCCCCCUUGAGUUGCCGACCGAAGGAGUUAGCAGUAGGCUCGGACGGAAUCUUCCACCGAUAAAAGGAAGGGAAUAUCGGAUUUUAAAUCCCGUAUUCUAUUAAGGGAACGACUUGUGUCGUUACAUUGAGUGGUACCGCGGAGGAACCCUUCGUCUCAAUU
rnacentral:ncRNA from 1 species